rnacentral:rRNA from 1 species
UACAGAGGUCUCAAGCGUUGUUCGGAUUCAUUGGGCGUAAAGGGUGCGUAGGCGGCGCGGUAAGUCGGGUGUGAAAUCUCGGAGCUUAACUCCGAAACUGCAUUCGAUACUGCCGUGCUUGAGGACUGGAGAGGAGACUGGAAUUUACGGUGUAGCGGUGAAAUGCGUAGAUAUCGUAAGGAAGACCAGUGCGGAAGGCGGGUCUCUGGACAGUUCCUGACGCUGAGGCACGAAGGUCAGGGGAGCAAACGGG